AUCCCGGCGAGUGCAGGCAUCACUGAAGACCUGACAUCGGCGGAAUCGGACGUCCACACUGGUCCUCGGCGCAGCUGACCAGGUGUUUAUCUUUGCGCAAAAAAAAAAAAAAAAAAAAAAGACAAAAAAGAAACAACUUUAUGACCAUCCGAUGAGACUGAGCGUCGAUGAGAGUGACCUCCCCGUGCGUCGCCGGAGGAACAGACUUUUUCUUUUUUUUUUCCCAUUUUUUUUUUUGCCGUCUCCAAACGGGGGAGAAUCGCAAAGGGGCGAGACAAUAACGCCCCAGAAGUUAUUGAAAUGAAUCGUCAUGAAAGGGAGCUGGCACAAGAAGAAGAAGAAACUGAAGAGUGCUCGCAGUGUUAGCCUUCACCGCGGAGGGAAGAAAGAGAAGCAGAAAAACACCCCCCGAGCAGAACGCAACGAGGGGAAAGACGAAUGAUUAAAGAGAGGUCCAGACAUGAAGGAGGCACGCAAGCACAUUCACACACACACACACACACACACACACACACACACAUAUUCAGUUCAAUGGCACCUACAGUCUGUCUGCGGUCUACCACCACCCUGCCCCUCACACACACACACACACACACACACACGCCUGUUACGGUAAGAAUCAGAGACCACCGAGUCGGGAGGGUAAUAACGGCACAAAUGUGAGAAAACAAACUCAUUAUCUGCUGCUGUUUUCCUUCUCCGAGUAAUUAAAGACAAAAUUUCUAUUCCUGAAUGUGUCAAAUUCUAAAAAAAAAAAAAUAAUAAUUUACUUCAAUGACAACACAAGAUUUAGCUUCUAUUUAACAAGAAAUGUUUUUAAUUCUAAUUCACGCGAAACAAUUUCAUUCGUGUCCGUAAUGCGUCCAUGUGUGCACGCUUUCUUUUUUUUUCUUUCCUAUUACCGUCUUUCAAAACCAAUCCACAAGUUUAACAGCCGCACCACAUAUCCCACAACCUCCCUCCCUCCCUCCCCCCCA